CCUACGGGUGGCAGCAGUGGGGAAUAUUGGACAAUGGGCGAAAGCCUGAUCCAGCCAUGCCGCGUGUGUGAAGAAGGCCUUCGGGUUGUAAAGCACUUUCAGUGGGGAAGAAAGCCUUGGGGCUAAUACCCUCGAGGAAGGACAUCACCCACAGAAGAAGCACCGGCUAACUCCGUGCCAGCAGCCGCGGUAAUACGGAGGGUGCGAGCGUUAAUCGGAAUUACCGGGCGUAAAGCGCGCGUAGGCGGUCUGAUAAGCCGGUUGUGAAAGCCCCGGGCUCAACCUGGGAACGGCAUCCGGAACUGUCAGGCUAGAGUGCAGGAGAGGAAGGUAGAAUUCCCGGUGUAGCAGUGAAAUGCGUAGAGAUCGGGAGGAAUACCAGUGGCGAAGGCGGCCUUCUGGACUGACACUGACGCUGAGGUGCGAAAGCGUGGGUAGCAAACAGGAUUAGAUCCCCUAGUAGUC
rnacentral:rRNA from 1 species